AUUGAACGCUGGCGGGAGGCUUAACACAUGCAAGUCGAGCGAGCGGCGGACGGGUGAGUAAUGUAUGGGGACGUGCCCGGUAGCGGGGGAUAACUACUGGAAACGGUGGCUAAUACCGCAUACUAUUGGAUGAACCCAUAUUGGAUUAGCUAGUUGGUGGGGUAAAGGCCACCUAGGCAACGAUCUCUAGCUGGUUUGAGAGGAUGAUCAGCCACACUGGGACUGAGACACGGCCCAGACUCCUACGGGAGGCAGCAGUGGGGAAUAUUGGACAAUGGGGGCAAGCCUGAUGCAGCCAUGCCGCGUGUAUGAAGAAGGCCUUAGGGUUGUAAAGUACUUUCAGCAGAGAGGCGUUACCCGCAGAAUAAGCACCGGCUAACUCCGUGCCAGCCGCCGCGGUAAUAC
rnacentral:rRNA from 1 species